UACGUAGGUGACAAGCGUUGUCCGGAUUUACUGGGCGUAAAGAGCGCGCAGGCGGUCGUUCAAGUCGAGUGUGAAAGCCCCCGGCUCAACUGGGGAGGGUCAUUCGAUACUGAUCGACUCGAAGGCAGGAGAGGGUAGUGGAAUUCCCGGUGUAGUGGUGAAAUGCGUAGAUAUCGGGAGGAACACCAGUGGCGAAGGCGACUACCUGGCCUGUUCUUGACGCUGAGGCGCGAAAGCGUGGGGAGCGAACAGG
rnacentral:rRNA from 1 species